rnacentral:tRNA from 3 species
CGCGGGGUAGAGCAGUCUGGUAGCUCGUCGGGCUCAUAACCCGGAGGUCGCAGGUUCGAAUCCUGUCCCCGCUA